rnacentral:lncRNA from 1 species
UUUCCAAACAAGAUCUCAAGACUCCUAGGAUCAAAAUCAAUCCUAGCCCGAAAUAGAAUCCACACACGAUUCUGUUCGCAACUCGAGCUAGCUCGGUCAGACCUCGAGUCGGUUCAACUAUCGUAAUCCUCCCAUGCCAGCUCUCUGUUUCUCAUCUGAGCUGGCUUUCUCAGGAUCUCGAGUUGGCUCAACUUGAUCCGAGUCGACUCCAUCCAGAUUCAAGUCGGCUCCUCUACUGGCUGAAGCAGAUCUUCACACUAGGACCUCUCCUAUCCUAGCCCUAGGGCCCAAACCCCGUCCUAGUCUCUUGAAGUCAUUAUUAUGACUCCUCUCAUGGCCUCCCAAGGCUUGGGAGCACCUCACAUGCACAACAAAGGGAACCCUCUAG